AGCCCGGUGGUGUAGCGGACAAGCAUAGAGGGCUUUGGACCCUUUGACCGCAGUUCGAAUCUGCGCCGGGCUACCA
rnacentral:tRNA from 1 species